rnacentral:rRNA from 1 species
AUUGAACGCUGGCGGCAGGCUUAACACAUGCAAGUCGAGCGGAGAUGAGGUGCUUGCACCUUAUCUUAGCGGCGGACGGGUGAGUAAUGCUUAGGAAUCUGCCUAUUAGUGGGGGACAACAUUCCGAAAGGAAUGCUAAUACCGCAUACGCCCUACGGGGGAAAGCAGGGGAUCUUCGGACCUUGCGCUAAUAGAUGAGCCUAAGUCGGAUUAGCUAGUUGGUGGGGUAAAGGCCCACCAAGGCGACGAUCUGUAGCGGGUCUGAGAGGAUGAGCCGCCACACUGGGACGGAGACACGGCCCAGACUCCUACGGGAGGCAGCAGUGGGGAAUAUUGGACAAUGGGCGGAAGCCUGAUCCAGCCAUGCCGCGUGUGUGAAGAAGGCCUUUUGGUUGUAAAGCACUUUAAGCGAGGAGGAGGCUACCUGGAUUAAUACUCUAGGAUAGUGGACGUUACUCGCAGAAUAAGCACCGGCUAACUCUGUGCCAGCAGCCGCCGUAAGAC